GAAUAUCUCUCUCUCGAUGAUGG
rnacentral:siRNA from 1 species